rnacentral:rRNA from 1 species
UACGUAGGUGACCAGCGUUGUCCGGAUUUACUGGGCGUAAAGAGCGCGCAGGCGGUCGUUCAAGUCGAGUGUGAAAGCCCCCGGCUCAACUGGGGAGGGUCAUUCGAUACUGAUCGACUUGAAGGCAGGAGAGGGAAGCGGAAUUCCCGGUGUAGUGGUGAAAUGCGUAGAUAUCGGGAGGAACACCGGUGGCGAAGGCGGCCUGCUGGGCAGUAGCUGACACUGAGGCGCGGACAAGCGUGGGGAGCAAACAGG